rnacentral:rRNA from 1 species
GACGGACGCUGGCGGCGUGCUUAACACAUGCAAGUCGAACGGACAGGCCCUGCUUUUGUGGGGUGCUCGAGUGGCGAACGGGUGAGUGACACGUGAGUAACCUGCCCUUGACUUUGGGAUAACUUCAGGAAACUGGGGCUAAUACCGGAUAGGAUCUCCUGCUGCAUGGUGGGGGUUGGAAAGUUUCGGCGGUUGGGGAUGGACUCGCGGCUUAUCCGCUUGUUGGUGGGGUAGUGGCUUACCAAGGCUUUGACGGGUAGCCGGCCUGGGAGGGUGACCGGCCACAUUGGGACUGAGAGAGGGCCCAGACUCCUACGGGAGGCAGCAGGGGGGAAUAUUGCACAGUGGCGGGAAGCCUGAUGCAGCAACGCCGCGUGCGGGAUGACGGCCUUCGGGUUGUAAACCGCUUUCGCCUGUGACGAAGCGUGAGUGACGGUAAUGGGUAAAGAAGCACCGGCUAACUACGUG